rnacentral:rRNA from 1 species
CACGUAGGGUGCGAGCGUUGUCCGGAAUUACUGGGCGUAAAGCGUGCGCAGGCGGUUCGCCAAGUCAGGUGUGAAAUCCCCGGGCUUAACCUGGGAAUUGCGCUUGAAACUAGCGGGCUUGAGUGUGGCAGAGGGGGGUGGAAUUCCACGUGUAGCAGUGAAAUGCGUAGAGAUGUGGAGGAACACCGAUGGCGAAGGCAGCCCCCUGGGUCAACACUGACGCUCAUGCACGAAAGCGUGGGGAGCAAACAGG